ensembl:ncRNA lncRNA:CR45996 long non-coding RNA:CR45996
CCAGAAUAUAAAAAUUAAAAUUUUAACGAUAUUCGGCUUAUUAAAAUCGGAUACCACGCUCCAUUUCAUAAAAUUACAUUAUCCCUGCGAUUUCAGGCAGUUGCCAACCGGACUGCAGCCUUCAUUGGGAAUUCAUAAAGGCAACCGAGCAUAAGCUGCUGAAAAUAUCCCUCGGCAACACUAAUUGCGAGUACUUAUAGUUGCAAUUGAUUGCGCUCUUUAUACUGGAGUCGACAAAUCAGCUGACACGGAGUGUCACAGCCAAGGCCGAAGGAUUCAGUAUUCAGGAGCAAGAAGGGUAACAUGAGCCGAUGCCUCGUUAGCGUGGAUAUACUGGUGGGAAAGGAUUCGAAGUUGCGAAAGAUGAACACGGCUACGUUUGAAAGAGAAAUAAAGUUUUAAUGCAUAUAAAUUGUGGAUGCCUAAAAGAGGGGCAGACUGUGAAAAAUUAAUGUGGACAUAUCACGGAGGCGAUUGCCUGUAUUGCCAGUCGACCAAGAAAAAGCCAGGUGAGGGCUGACAGUUUCGCUUACAGCUCCGGAUUAUUGUUCCUGAUGUGGGUACGUGGCUCACGUGGUCCAUUGGAUGUGGAUGCUCCGGCUCAAUGACGUCAGCAACGGACUUGAACCGAAAUCCCGCCUCACUGUCGAACUUUGACCUAUGCUAAACUCAAGCCCAAAGCACUCAAAUACAUUUUUUAGAUCGCCCGAGGGCGGUUCUGGC